ACAACAGCGACGUACUGUCUCACAGGUUGGGAGGCCGAGAGUCCCAGAUCACGGUGUCGGCAGGCCGUGCUCCCUCUGACGGCUCUCGAGGAGGAUCCUUCUCGGCCUCUUCGGGCUUCUGGUGUUGCCAGCAAUCCUUGGUGUCCCUGGGCAUACAGGGGGCCACUGCACUCACACAGCUGUCUGCUCCUCCUGUGUCUUCAUGUCGUCUUCCCUCUUUGCAGGGCUGCAGGCUCUGGGAGGUUAGGACGCUCGCCGAGGGUUUGAAGCCGGAUUAGGAACCCAAUCCCUCCAAUGCCUGGAAAGAAAGCCGCGCAGCCAUGAUUCAGGAGCCAAAGACACAGCCCGGAGAAUGUGAGCGGUGAAACUCCUCAGGCAGUGGUUCUCAACCUGGCAGGCGACACAUUAGAACCACCGGGGAGCUGAAAAAGUAUGCACUGGCCCCACCCCAGCCCACUGGAGGUCUAAUUGGUGAAGAGUGGGCCUGGGCAUCAGUCUUUGUUAAAAGCUUCUCGUGUGUGGCCAGAGUUGAGAACCACUGGAAUUCUCUCCUCAAAUUUCUUCAACAUCAAUCAUUUCGGGGGCUGGUUAAACACCAGCUGUUUGGCUCUCCCCUAGUUUCUGAUUCAGUGGUCUGAGGUGAGGGCUCAGAAUCUUCUUCUUCUUUUCUUUUGGUGAGGAAGAUUGGUCUUGAGCUAACGUCUGUUGCCAAUCUUGCUCUUUUUGCUUGAGGAAGAUUGUCUCUGAGCUAACAUCCGUGCCAAUCUUCCUCCAUUUUGUAUGUGGGAUGCUGCCACAGUGUGGCUUGAUGAGCAGUGUGGAGAUCCGUGCCUGGGAUCCAAACCCACAAACCCUGGGCUGCUGAAGCAGAGUGCACCAACUUAACCACCACACUGCCGGGCUGGCCCCAGAAUCUGCACUUUUAAUGUGCUCCCAGGACAUGCUGCAGGCUGUUGGUCUGGGCAACGCUUUGAGAACUGCUGCCUUCCGCGCUAGCUCAUGACUGCCCUGAUUCUCCCCAAGCCACAGGGUUUUCUGCUUUCUGCCCCCACAGUCCUGGCUCUUCCCUCUGCACUGCUCUGCUCUUGGCUGAGCUCUGGGCUACCCCUGACAGGGUGUAGAAAAAAAUUGUUUUUAUUUACUUUUUUUAAGCCCAAAAGAGAUUGGAGUGCUUCAAAAGGCAUUCCAUCUGAGAGGGAAACGACUCCCCAAAUGGGCAACUAAACACAUCGCAGUGGACACACUUGGAGGUGGUGGGGGUCAGGCUCUGGACCUGAGAGGCACGCUCGUGGGCGAGUUGUUUGCUGUCUCUAGGAAUUGGCUAGCCCUGGGGGGUCAGCAAGACCCCAGAUGUCAAAGCAGCAGUACACGGCCGCGGUUAAUGAAGACAUGGGUAACAAGCCGGUUCGCAGAGAAACGGGGAGUGGCUCUGAGCAGAGCAGACAUGGCAGCGGUGUUCCCUGCAGAUCUAUUUUCAAUCUCUCUUAAAAACACUGUCUCGUCCAUAAAAUAUGCAUUGGUGUGUAACUGCCUUUGUCCUCUAGGCUCAGCCAGUGUCUCCCACGCCAGGUUGGCGGGUGUGACCGUCAUCUUCUCUUUCCUUUCUGGAGUGUCCCUUGGUCACAGUUCCUGGACCAAGGCUAGCAGCAGCAGUGUGCAGGUGCUGGCCUCCCCCAGGCCCAGGGUGUAAACACAAUAGCUUGAGCAGUGUCGGGUGAGGUGGGGUGAUGUGGUGACCACACUGAAUGUCAUUUCCUGUGAGAGCUGGAGUGCUAGCCCAUGACAGGACAUUGAGGAACAUGGAUUCUCCCUUGUGAUUAGCUUCAGCAGAGGCCCUCAUUCCAGCUGUCAAAGUAUGCUGAGCCUGCCCGUGACUGCCUGCCCUGGGGCCGUGAGGGUUUGGAAGACGACAGCUCCAAGUCAGGGCUCUGCCUGAAGUGGGCACGGCUGUUGGAGGGCCAGCAGGAUACCGCACUGAGACAGGGUUUCCGUGAGGCUGGGUCUUACAUAACGUGACACACGGGUGAGAAGGCAGUGGGUGUAUCUGGGGCCCUGCAGGGUGACUCAAGCACCAUCAAUGCUUUCCAGAAGCAUGGGGCUCAGGCGUCAGCUGAGCAAAAUUUUCUACAUUACUAAGAGAUUACUAGAAUUAGAAGUAUUAGAAUGAGUAGAAAGCACAGAAAUGUCUCAUGAUUCAAAAAACGAACAGCCUGGAAACUGGACGAUAUUCUGGGAGCCGGGGAUAUAUUCAGGUGGGAAGUGGUGCGGGUUGGGCGUGGGUGGCCAGAAAGGCCAUUGGACCCACGACUUGUAGUCACAGAAGGCUGCAGAGGGUGGCUUAGAAGUUGUAGCUCCACACGAGCUAUGCAGACAGUCGCUGAGUUUUGUUGAAUCACUUCUUUUCUAAAUGUCAACACUGAAAACACAACCCGGUGCCUGUCACUCCGUUUUGGCAUGGGUCUGCAACUUUUAAUACACUCGGAGCUUCUUUUCAAUUUUUUCACAUUUUUUGCAGUGGCUGGGGUCUCUCUCCUUGCCUGUUGGAGCCCUGCCACGUGCCAGCUGGAAGCUGUGAUCACUGGUUAACCAGUAGCGGUGGG
rnacentral:lncRNA from 1 species